rnacentral:tRNA from 6 species
UCCCCCUUAGUUCAGUUGGUAGAACGGCGGACUGUUAAUCCGUAUGUCGCUGGUUCAAGUCCAGCAGGGGGAGCCA